rnacentral:misc_RNA from 1 species
GCAUACGGCGAAUGCGCUCCACUCUCUCCAUUUCUUCUUCAUACUCCUCUCGCAUCCUGCGAUUGUAUCUUUUCCAUGCUUCCUCCUGAAAACUUGUCCUAAAAGAACCGCCAGCUCGGCUUCUCUGUGCUGACUGCCUCAACUGAGAGUAGACAAAAUCCACUGUACUUCGCAAUUGUGUAACCUGCCAAAUUUCUCAGGCGCAAAAGUUGUGGCAGUAGCUCCGAUCAAUGCAAAAACAAAAAUACCCCAAAGUUUCAUCUCAUCUUUUUCUUGAUAAGGUUUUCCCCUAUUGUCUUCAUCGUCUUGUUCGUUACCCAUAAUUUAUUUAGCUUUGAAUUGUAAUCACUGUAAUAAACUGGAAAAAGAGCCGAUGAAACAUACUAUGCUGUGUGCUUU